GAGAGUUUGAUCCUGGCUCAGGAUGAACGCUGGCGGCGUGCCUAAUACAUGCAAGUCGAGCGAAUGGAUUAAGAGCUUGCUCUUAUGAAGUUAGCGGCGGACGGGUGAGUAACACGUGGGUAACCUGCCCAUAAGACUGGGAUAACUCCGGGAAACCGGGGCUAAUACCGGAUAACAUUUUGAACCGCAUGGUUCGAAAUUGAAAGGCGGCUUCGGCUGUCACUUAUGGAUGGACCCGCGUCGCAUUAGCUAGUUGGUGAGGUAACGGCUCACCAAGGCAACGAUGCGUAGCCGACCUGAGAGGGUGAUCGGCCACACUGGGACUG
rnacentral:rRNA from 1 species